rnacentral:rRNA from 1 species
UACGUAGGGGGCAAGCGUUGUCCGGAAUCAUUGGGCGUAAAGAGCGCGUAGGCGGCCCAGUAAGUCCGCUCUGAAAGUCAGGGGCUCAACCCCUGGAUGCGGGUGGAUACUGCUGGGCUAGAGUCCGGAAGAGGAGAGUGGAAUUCCUGGUGUAGCGGUGAAAUGCGCAGAUAUCAGGAAGAACACCAAUGGCGAAGGCAGCUCUCUGGGACGGUACUGGCGCUGAGACGCGAAAGCGUGGGGAGCGAACAGG